CUUGAAUCAUCUCAAAACCAUCUCCCCAACCCACCCCAUCCGUGGAAAAACUGUGUUCUAUGAAACUGGUCCCUGGUGCCAAAAGCAUUUAGGGGUUGCU